rnacentral:tRNA from 1 species
CUCUCUGUAGCUUAGUUGGUUAAAGCGCUGCACCGGAAUCGCAGAGCCGCAGGUUCAAUUCCUGCCAGAGGGC